rnacentral:rRNA from 1 species
CCUACGGGAGGCAGCAGUGAGGAAUAUUGGUCAAUGGGCGCAAGACUGAACCAGCCAAGUAGCGUGAAGGAUGACUGCCCUACGGGUUGUAAACUGCUUUUAUGAGGGAAUAAAGUGAGGCACGUGUGCCUUUUUGUAUGUACUUUAUGAAUAAGGAUCGGCUAACUCCGUGCCAGCAGCCGCGGUAAUACGGUGGAUACGGGCGUUAGCCGGAUUUAUUGGGUUUAAAGGGAGCGUAGGUGGGUUGUUAAGUUAGUUGUGAAAGUUUGGGGCUCAACCGUAGAAUUGCAAUUGAUACUGGCAGUCGUGAGUACAGUAGAGGUAGGCGGAAUUCGUGGUGUAGCGGUGAAAUGCUUAGAGAUCACGAAGAACUCCGAUUGCGAAGGCAGCUUACUACACUGCCACUGACGCUGAGGCGCGAAAGUGUGGGUAUCAAACAGGAUUAGAUACCCUUGUAGUC